rnacentral:rRNA from 1 species
AUACGGAGGGUGCGAGCGUUAUCGGGAUUUAUUAGGUUUAAAGGGUGUGUAGGCGGGAGCCUAAGUCAGUGGGGAAAUCUCACAGCUUAACUGUGAAACUGCCAUUGAAACUGGGUUUCUUGAGUAUAGUUGAGGUAGGCGGAAUGUGUAAUGUAGCGGUGAAAUGCAUAGAUAUUACACAGAACACCGAUUGCGAAGGCAGCUUACUAAGCUAUUACUGACGCUGAUGCACGAAAGCGUGGGUAGCGAACAGGAUUAGAAACCCCAGUAGUCC